rnacentral:rRNA from 1 species
GACGAACGCUGGCGGCGUGCCUAAUACAUGCAAGUCGAGCGGAACUGGGGGAGCUUGCUCCUUCCAGUUUAGCGGCGGACGGGUGAGUAACACGUGGGCAACCUGCCCUGCAGAUCGGGAUAACUCCGGGAAACCGGUGCUAAUACCGAAUAGUCUGGCGCCUCUCCUGAGGCGCCACGGAAAGACGGUUUCGGCUGUCCCUGCAGGAUGGGCCCGCGGCGCAUUAGCUAGUUGGUGGGGUAACGGCCCACCAAGGCGACGAUGCGUAGCCGACCUGAGAGGGUGACCGGCCACACUGGGACUGAGACACGGCCCAGACUCCUACGGGAGGCAGCAGUAGGGAAUCUUCCGCAAUGGACGCAAGUCUGACGGAGCAACGCCGCGUGAGUGACGAAGGUUUUCGGAUCGUAAAACUCUGUUGUGAGGGAAGAACACGUACCAACUAACUAUUGGUACCUUGACGGUACCUCACCAGAAAGCCACGGCUAACUACGUGCCGGCAGCCGCCGUAA